rnacentral:rRNA from 1 species
UCUGGUGCCAGCAUCCGCGGUAAUUCCAGCUCCAAGAGCGUAUUUGAAAAUUGUUGCUGUUAAAACGCCCGUAGUUGAAUGUAGAUAAGGUUCUUUCACCUUUGAGUGUAAACAGCUCAGUGGAUUAUGUGAGAAAAUGUCAAAAUUUUAGAUAAAUGACAUUGUGAAAAUAUAAACUUCGGUUUAGACGAUAAUAGUGUUUGCAGGCAAUAAGUGAGUUAGUAUUGAUCAAUAAGGCGAACCCUUGUUGAGAGAAAUGAAUUAGGCUGUUGUUUGUCCUUGAUUUCGGUCAAGGUUUGUUUAGAUAGGAUUCGCUUUGAAUAAAUUAGAGUGCUCAGAGCAAGCGAUUUCGCUUGAAUAUAUUAGCAUGGUACGACGAAAUUUGAUAGAUCUGAAUUUUUGGUGCAACUUCAGUAACGAGCUUUAUUUUGAGAUGGAUAAUAGGAGUGUAAAAGCUUUUAUUAUUCGUGAAGUCUUUUUAUAAUUUAUAAUGAUUAAAAGGGGCAAAUGGGGUAAUUCAUAUUGACUGGGUAGAGGUGAAAUUCUAUGAUCCAGUCAAGAUGCACUAAUGCGAAAGCAUUUUACCAAAAUGUUUUCUUUAAUCAAGGACGAAGGUUGUGGGCGCGAAGAUGAUUAGAUACCGUUGUAGUCACAACAGUAAACGAUGUUGAUUUAGGAUUGUGAAAAGUUAAUAUUAUGACUUUUACAGCACUAUGUGAGAAAUCAAAAUAUUUAAACUCAGGGGGAAGUAUGGACGCAAGUCUGAAACUUAAAAGAAUUGACGGAAGAGCACCACCAGGCGUGGAAUCUGCGGCUUAAUUUGACCCAACACGGGGAAACUUACCAGGUUAGGAUUUAAAAAGGAUUGACAGACUGAUCGUGGUGCAUGGCCGUUUUUAGUUGGUGUUUUGAAAUGUCUGGUUUAUUCUGAUAACGAACGAGACCUCAUUCUAUUAAAUAGUUUGUAGGUUAGAGCAAUUAGAAGUUUCCAUUAUCAGUUUUCUGGUGGUGGACUUCAUAGGUUUAACAUAAAAAACUUCUUAAAGAUACUCUUUACGUUAUAGUAAAUGGAAGAGAGACAAUAACAGGUCUGUUAUGCCCUUCGAUAUCCUGGGCUGCACGCGCGUUACAAUGAAAUAUUCAAUGAGUUAAUCGAAUCCAAAAGGAUUGAGGAAAUCUUAUAACCCAUUUCGUGAUGGGGAUUGUGUUUUGCAAUUAUCGCACAUGAACGAGGAAUGCCUUGUAUUGGCUUGUCAUCAACAAGCUAAGAAUAAGUCCCUGCU